rnacentral:rRNA from 1 species
AACGAACGCUGGCGGCAUGCCUAACACAUGCAAGUAGAACGAGACCUUCGGGUCUAGUGGCGCACGGGUGCGUAACGCGUGGGAACCUGCCCUUAGGUUCGGAAUAACUCCCCGAAAGGGGUGCUAAUACCGGAUAAUGUCUUCGGACCAAAGAUUUAUCGCCUUUGGAUUGGCCCGCGUUGGAUUAGCUAGUUGGUAGGGUAAAAGCCUACCAAGGCGACGUUCCAUAGCUGGUCUGAGAGGAUGAUCAGCCACACUGGGACUGAGACACGGCCCAGACUCCUACGGGAGGCAGCAGUGGGGAAUAUUGGACAAUGGGCGAAAGCCUGAUCCAGCAAUGCCGCGUGAGUGAUGAAGGCCUUAGGGUUGUAAAGCUCUUUUACCCGGGAUGAUAAUGACAGUACCGGGAGAAUAAGCGCCGGCUAACUCCGUG